GUUUGAUCCUGGCUCAGGAUGAACGCUAGCGGCAGGCUUAACACAUGCAAGUCGAGGGGUAUAUGUCUUCGGAUAUAGAGACCGGCGCACGGGUGCGUAACGCGUAUGCAAUCUACCUUUUACAGAGGGAUAGCCCAGAGAAAUUUGGAUUAAUACCUCAUAGUAUAGUGACUCGGCAUCGAGAUACUAUUAAAGUCACAACGGUAAAAGAUGAGCAUGCGUCCCAUUAGCUAGUUGGUAAGGUAACGGCUUACCAAGGCUACGAUGGGUAGGGGUCCUGAGAGGGAGAUCCCCCACACUGGUACUGAGACACGGACCAGACUCCUACGGGAGGCAGCAGUGAGGAAUAUUGGACAAUGGGCGCAAGCCUGAUCCAGCCAUGCCGCGUGCAGGAUGAAGGUCCUAUGGAUUGUAAACUGCUUUUGUACGAGAAGAAACACUCCAACGUGUUGGAGCUUGACGGUAUCGUAAGAAUAAGGAUCGGCUAACUCCGUGCCAGCAGCCGCGGUAAUACGGAGGAUCCAAGCGUUAUCCGGAAUCAUUGGGUUUAAAGGGUCCGUAGGCGGUUUAGUAAGUCAGUGGUGAAAGCCCAUCGCUCAACGGUGGAACGGCCAUUGAUACUGCUAAACUUGAAUUAUUAGGAAGUAACUAGAAUAUGUAGUGUAGCGGUGAAAUGCUUAGAGAUUACAUGGAAUACCAAUUGCGAAGGCAGGUUACUACUAAUGGAUUGACGCUGAUGGACGAAAGCGUGGGUAGCGAACAGGAUUAGAUACCCUGGUAGUCCACGCCGU
rnacentral:rRNA from 1 species